UUACCAUUGGACCCGGACCUGCCAAAGGGGAACCCGCUUACCUAUCUCCUAAAUCACACUAAAAACAAGAUGUGUUUGUAUACUUUCGGAUUCAUUUCAUUGGCCUCCGGAUGAUGCAGCCCAAGUACUCACUUUCUAUCCUUAUGGUUCACGUCAAGUGUUUGUUUGUCAUUCAGAAGUUUAUUUUUGUGGUUCGAUUAUAUACAUUACAAUUAAAUUCAUUGUAACUUAUA